rnacentral:lncRNA from 1 species
UUACUCCCCUGCUGGUGCCUCCCUCCUUGGCGCGCUUCCCACCUGCGAUCGGCGCCCUCUUCGCAGUCACGAACUCGCCAGCAGCUAGCAGCACUGACUAGUAGGAGGGCCCGCCGGAGGAGAGGACAUGCUCUGGAGUCAGAAGACAGCGAAAAGAGAAGCAGAAGCCCCGGUGGCAAGAGUCUGAAGCAGGAAGGAUGACUGUAGCCUGUGGAUUGUACUGCAGUAGGAAACUGUCCUAGCAAGGCUCCACUUUGCCCCAGCUUCAAGCUGGAAAGGAGGAGAACAUGAAACAUUGCUUGAAGACAAUGGCCGAGACAGCAGGUCCCACCCUGCACAGCCACCAGCAUCUCUCCCCUCAGCCCUGUCUCCUCUUCUGCAGUUGGGAUCUGCACAUUUAAGCCUGAAAUUGUCCUGUGAAGUGAAGUAUGAUCGGACAGCCUCUUUUCAGCUUUUAUGACAAUGGAGACAGAGGAAUUGUGGCUCUUGCCAAGGUCACAGGAUUGGAAUACAGAGCCAAGCCACCCCAGGACAUGCAAGAGCCUCAGAAGGGAAAAAAGCCCAGCAGGAAGGGAGAACAAGUAGCCUCUGUCCUGAAGUUGUAACAGCCAGGGGCCAGGAUGGAGGAGGAGGACCCCAUAAUCUGCCCAUCUGGGACUUGGCAGGGGACCUGGGAAAAUGUACCCCAACCCAUCCCUUAAGGGCCUUUGUCUUUGGCCCAUUGGCCUAGCAUCUACUUCUUCACCGUGUCUGUUCUUGUCACACCUAGUCAGGUCUGUUUGGGUCUGAGGUGCAUGGAACAUUCUGGGUAGGCCUCCAGCAAACGGAAGCUCUUCACCGUGUUUCCAGCCUGGGACCAAGGGCAGCAUACUGGCAAAGUUGCCAAAGCAAGGGACUCCAGCCUCUUAGGAGUUAAUGACUCCCUCUCCCCAGCUGUCCUCCCCUUGGUGCUCCUCUUCCUCCCUCCUCCUGCUCACAGCAGGCAGGGCCUAGACCCGGGAGCCAUGCUGCUGUGCUGUUGCCAGGGGAGCACGGAGGCAGAUCUGAGCUAUGCAGGGAAAAGGCCCAGCCUGUCAAAGUGUCUGAGAUGAACCGCCGCCGUCCCUGUGCAGCUGGGCUCAGACGUGUCUCAGCUCUUGUUCUGUGCCUGAGAAUGGCGAAACCCAGUGAGGUUCAAGGGCAAACUCGCUAUUCAUUAGUCAGGGGUUCUUGACGUCCCGUCUCUCCCAGGGAUGAGUUCCCCCCUCCUCUUUCUCCCCCUCCUAUGACACAUUCCUGGGUGCCUUUGGUGAGGACUGCACACCCUCCUCCUGCCUAGCCCCCUCUCCAAAGGCCCCUGAAUAAACUCCCCCCAAGGAGACCAGGCAGGGCAGAGACAAUGGCUGCAGGAAAUCAUUCAGGCGGGACAUGCUGGCCUGCCCUCCACCCAGUCCCCCUGUGGGCCCCACUCCCUUCUGAUUCAGGGCACCCUUGGGCCCCCAGCCUAUACAGGCCUGGACAGGAAGAAACCACUGGGAACCACCCUAAGGACAACAUGCUAGUCCAGUGCCAUUCUUCGCUGGCUCUGUGGGUGCCUUUGUGGCCUGUACCGACUGGCUGGCUAAUUUUGUGGUUUCUGUACCAUCACAUGCCUAUUUUAAGACACUCUCCAGCACUGUCGGUUAGGGAGUGUAAAUUUUGCAAUAUUUUCUGAAAUGUGGCAAUAUCAAAAUGUAAAAGGCACACAUACUUGGUCACAAACAAAUGGCACUAUUUACUCUGUGGGCAUAUUUGUAAAAGUUGCCAAAGAAUUAUAUACAAGGAUGUUCAUCAGAGCAUUUCUUUUGAAGAGUAAAGAAAUGGACAUGAACCUGUGGUCCGUUCAUACGGUGGAAUACCUAUGCAGCUGUAAAAAUCAGUGUGGUAGAUCUCCGUAUAUGAGUUGAUGUGGAAGGUUGGCCAGUUCACAUGAUAAGGUGAAUAGAAUAAGUUACAGAACAGGCUGUAGAGUAUGAUCUUAUUUGUAGAUGUUUAAAACUGAGUCAUAAGUAUGCUUAUAUACAGAUCGUUUCUGGAAGUAUGUACUGGAAGUCUACCUCUGGGGAGUGGGGAUGGGGGAGUGCACUCUUCUAUACUGUUAUAUUUUCUUUUCAUGCUCCUAAGGUACUUUUAUUGGAAGAUGUAAAGCGGUUCAAUGUAAUAGGCUUAACUUCUGUCAACUAAGUUGGCGUGGGUGCUUUAAGAGGGUGGUAGUGAUGUUGCUGGAGAAAGUAUCCCACAGUCACUGGUGGCUUCAGCCACGGGCCAUUUUGGGGCCUAAUAAUCACAUAUCAUCAUGGUUGCUAGUGUUAAUCGAAAACCUACUAAGUGCCAGGCUUACUGUCUCUGGGUCUUGCUUACGUGGAUGUCAUUUUUCCAGUUGCACCAAAUCGAAAGAGGUUAAUUGGUUUGUUGGAGUUCCUUUGUAGGUGAAGGGCAGAGCCAGGAGCUUGGCUAGGGACAGGGGAGGUGAGUGGGGGAUGGUGGAUAGGUCUUGGCUCCCAGUUUCCUUCUGGGCAGACAUUGCCCCUCUGCCCUGAGGACCUGCUUGUUUGGGGGAAGAGGCCUUUAGAGGCACCAGGGUCAUGCCAGGUGUUGGACAUGGUGAACUGGGAAGUGCUCCCAUCUGGCCACAGCGCAGAAGUAUCACCGUGCUGGGGGAUGGGGAACAGGGCUGUGAAUGGGCCUAUUUGCAUAAGCAGCAUGUGUCUGGAGAGAAAGACAUCACAGAGCAGAAGAGUGCGGGUGCCCAGGAGUGCACUUGCCACCCCUACUUCAUCCCUGAAAGAGUAAAUGGCCUGGAAGGUGUCUCUGAGAGGUAAUGCCGCACACCACCCUCCCUGGGGGCAGGGUCAGGCUACACCUGCCUUAGGUCGGGGGCUGCAGCAGCCUGAGAGCUCUCAGUAGGGCCUCAGUAGCCUGGGAGGGAGCAGGGGCAGGGGGCAGGGAAAGAGGCGUAAUGGGGCUGUCCAGAGGGGCCUGGGAAACCUGGUCCCUGAGGCCUGGGCACAGCUACAAUCACUUCAAAUUGGCUGUGGGGCCAGUGGACUGGGAAGGAAAAAAGCAAUAAGAGUGACCAAGUGCAGAAGGCUGUCAGGUCCCAGGUCACAUGCCUUAGUGCAGUGACUCCUCAUCAUUUUAUGGGGUGUGGGUGUCGUUGGUACACCCAUUUUACAGAUGAGGACACCGAGGCCCAGAAAAGUUAAGUUACAUGUCCUAAGUCACACAGCUUGUAAGUGCCAGAACUGAGAUCAAAACCAAGUCUCUUUGACUUUAAAGUCUGUACUCUGACCCCAAAGAGAUCCUGUUUGGCCACUUAUAGGAGGUCCCUAAAGCUGCAGACUCCCCUUGCCGGCACCCACAUAUAGAGACAUUAACCCUUCCCCUGCAGGGUCACCUCAAAUAGUCUUUUAGCUGGGCUUCUCCUGCAAUUCCACCUAAUGCCAUCCCCUGGGUUUUGCCCAAACCUGAACUGGGCAGUGGGGUGAGAGGAGGGGUUUACAGGGUUACAGAGCCUCAUACAGAUAGGAGCCCAUGGCUGCUGGUCAUCUGCAUUCCUGCAGGAUUGGCUGUUCCUUGGGGUCCUUGGCAGGAAAAUGAGGAUUGCUCCGAGGCCUGCUCCAGUACUUCCCAGAGGCUGGCCUGGUGUGGGGCUCUGGGAAGGCUGAGGCUGGAGAAGCGUAAGUAGGAGGGCAGAGAUGGCACUCAGGUAGCUUGAAUCACCAGGACCCUUCCAAGCCCCACAGGUUCUGAGGGAGUACUAGGGCCAGCUCUGGGAGAGGUCUCUUCCUAUGCUGUGAACCCCCUGCCUUUCUUGCAGCCUACAACGAAUAAAUUUUCUUUGCAAAGG